rnacentral:pre_miRNA from 1 species
UUAGCUCAUAUUUGUAUGGAGUCGAAUCGUUUGCGUACGUUUGCCGCUAGGGGCGCUGUUCCAACUGCAUACAAAAUUGGCUUA